AACGUUAAUCGUGCUAUUUUUAUUACAAAUUUACACUUUAUAUAAAAUCAGAAUAAAUUAACUGUGGGUUCACCUACUUCGUGCCUAGAGAAUAACCAAACAAAUAGAUUUAAUUCCAAUAAAUCUUCUUUAAUUGCACUCUUCAUUCUCAAGGUCGUAGGCACAGCUUAUGUCCAAUCUACCCUGUCUUCGACAAGGGAGCACCUGCACCUGGGUGUUGGUGGAUGGUGAUAAACCAACAUUAGGGGUUCCUGCUCCUGCAUAAUCUACGGUUUGGGGUUGGUGAGCUGAGUUCGAGCGACGAAGUACUUCCAUUAACGACAACCCCUACACGGGCCGCCCUACGUCGGUGGUAACUGAUCACAUGGUUAAGAAAGUUGAAUGCCAAACAAUUGGAUCGUCGCGUUACUGUUUUAGUGAUUUAGAAGAUACCGUCAUCCCCGAAGCUCCGUAAGAUCGUGGGCUUUUUCUGGGACAGCCAAGGGCCGUUAAUGAUGUGACUUUCUACGCAGGACAAAUAACUCCUGGCUGAGCGUCGUGGUCAGCAACGAAGGAUCUAGAGGGGACUCUCUGUGGUUCUGUCCAGAGCAUCUCUUAUGACAGUGUAAAGUUUUCAGGACUUGCUCGGCCCAUCUGGUUGGUGAACGGUCACGUGAUUUUUUGUCUUCUGUGUUACCAACCACGCUCAGUUUCUCCAAGUUCUAUAAAUCAAUCAGAAGCCAACGAACCAUUAGAAGCCCCGGCAGAGUCAAAGCCACACAGCGUUCGGGAAAAAACCGGACAAAAUUCGAAAUUCGAAUGCGCAACCACAAUUCUCGUGGGUAAAUCAAUCGGCGUCGCGUGAGGCCGUGUU